CAGGAUUCAUUUUCCGAUUUGUGAGCUUCUCGUUCGUCAAAUACACUGCCAACGCGCUUUUCACAAAUUUUCUUUUCGCUUUCCAUCACUGCCUAAUCCAAGAUGUUCGCCCGCUCCGCCAUCCGCCGCUGGGUCAACAAGGACACGAAGGUGAUUGUCCAGGGCAUGACCGGCAAGGCCGGCACGUUCCACACGAAGGAGGCGAUGGCGUACGGCACCAAGGUCGUGGGCGGUGUGAGCCCGAAGAAGGCGGGCACGACGGCGCUGGGCGUGCCGGUGUUUGCGACGGCUGCGGAGGCGGUGAAGGCGACGGGCGCGACUGCGUCGGUGCUGUACGUGCCUGCGCCUUCGUGCGCUGCGUCGAUCGAGGAGGCUCUGGACGCGGAGCUGCCGCUGGUUGUAGUGAUCACGGAGGGCAUCCCGCAGUGGGACAUGCUGCGCGUGAAGUCGAUGCUGCUGUCGCAGAACAAGACACGCCUGAUCGGCCCCAACUGCCCAGGCAUCAUCAAGCCUGCGGAGUGCAAGAUCGGCAUCAUGCCCGGUCACAUCCACCAGAAGGGCAAGAUCGGCAUUGUGUCGCGCAGCGGCACGCUGACGUACGAGGCGGUUGCGCAGACGACGGCGGAGGGCCUCGGCCAGUCGCUGUGCGUCGGCAUUGGCGGCGACCCGUUCAACGGCACAAACAUGGUGGACUGCCUGAGGCUGUUCCUGAACGACCCCGAGACGGAGGGCAUCAUACUGAUUGGCGAGAUCGGCGGCACGGCGGAGGAGGAAGCGGCGGACUUCAUCAAGAACAGCCCGAUCAAGAAGCCGAUCGUGUCCUUCAUCGGCGGGGCGACUGCGCCGCCGGGCCGCCGCAUGGGCCACGCCGGUGCUAUCGUCUCUGGCGGGAUGGGCACCGCGAAGGGCAAGAAGGAUGCGCUGCGCGCCGCCGGCGUGACCAUCUCCGACUCGCCGGCGCACCUUGGCAAGCACAUGGCUGAGCUCUUCGCCACGAAGUAGGAAUCGUGCCACUGCUGAUGCCCGUUCAGGAGCUUCGAAGUGCUUAUCACUGAUUAAGGACGCUGGGGGCCGCUGGGUAGAUUGUUCUGGGCAUGCGCUCCAAUGGAAUGCAGUCGCCACGUCUUCCUCUCCCACAGGGCCGUUUGGUGUGUGCUGCGUCGCUGAAGACUUGAUCGUGUGUGUAUGUGUCUCUGUGCGCGUUUACAGAGAUGGAGCGGAGAAGUGGGGUAAAAGCACGAGAAGCGCGUGUGUAGCCGCAGGAGAGGGCGAAGGCGAGAGGAAGCGAGUUAACAGCGGCACACAGCUGCGCAGGCGGAACGAGACACACGCGCGUUUGUCAGGCGGCAUGAUCCGGGGAGCGGGGCUCAGUGUGACUGUUCUCGAGCGCGGGUUGGGGCAGAGGUAGUGCGGGAGUUGGUCCCCGGCGACGGAGGAAGGGGGCAUUGGAUACCGGACGGUGAUGGUGCGAGUGAGGGAUAGAGGAGAUGCAAGUAGGGGUGCGGCUCACGAGCAACUGUCUCGUCUCUUUCGGGUGCGUUGCCUUAUCUUGGAGGCCAACUCGUUUUCCUUCCUCUGCCCCACGCCCCCCCUCCCUUUUUCUUGCGCCGCUCUCCGGAGGGCUCAUGAACGAGAAGGGACUCUGUGAUGCAUCAACUGGAUCUCACCCUCAUCAUGCUCCCAGCCUCCUGUGUCGGUGGCUCCCUGCCCUUUCCCGCCCUCCGCCUCGUUGGUGGGAUGACAGGACGCUCAUCUGGCUCUAAGAGUCUUCGUGUUCCUUUCUCACUGCUCUUUUUAUGCACGCACUUCCUUUCGAGGCUUUCCAACCCUGUGUGCGUGUGUCUUCCUCUUCCUCCGCGUCUGCGGCUGUGCGUGCGUGCCAGUGGAAUGUCCAUUUAUCUGCAUCAGGGAACGAUUUUUGCGCAGCAUCGUGCGUCUAUAACCGCCUAUUGCUGACUCACUGCAUGCACAUACUCCCUCUAAGUGCCGUCACACUCUCUCCAUUGAUGCACUCACGCGGGGUGGAAGUGGGUGAAAGACGUGUUGAUAACAAGGGUGCGUGAAAUGUUAAUGCAGGUGGAAGUGGUGAAGCGGAAUUCACUCAAUGGUUUCCAAUCUUUUUUUUAUGCUGGCAGGAGGGGGGAGGGGCGGGUACGUGCUGCAGGCAUGCCGAACGUCCUGAGCGCUCAUAUACACACCUCAGCGCACAUGCACAAUGCAUAGUUCUGCAGAGAGAGGGACGAUAUUGAUUUGACACACACACACACACACACACACAUCUAUAUACAUAUAGAGUACGUUCGGCUGUGUGUGCGCUGCGACACGGGUAGCAUGGUGUGUGUGCGUCAGCGUUUCUAUGCCCUUGUUGGUAUUGUUUCUCUCUCCCUACGUGCAUGUGUGUGUGUGUGUGUUUGCUUGUGCCGAUCACCAGCUCGCUUUCCCUCCCUCUCACGUCGUUGCCCACGCAAAGUGGAGGAUAACGAAAAGAGGGGAGUUAGAGCAGUGGGGGGACGGAGAAGUGCGACCUCCGUUUUGUGUCACGCGGCGUACCGCCCCUGCGGUUCUCGUUCUGCCUCCGCUUUCUGUUCCUCUUUGCAUUCUCGUAUUCACAUUCGGCAGGGUUGGUCUCUCGGCAGGGCGCGUAUUGCACAGACGUACGUGCCCAAGCAAGCACUCCCCACGCGCACGCACACUUCUCUGUGGGCAGUUGAGCCCGUUCACCUGCAUGCUGUGUGCGCGUCCAUGACAAUGUACAGGAUCACGGCGGCGCGCGAGCAGCACUGCUGCAGCGGUCUCGUCGGGGGAGGUGUCUGUGUGAGUGUGUGUGGGCGACUGUCUUUUAUGCUUCGCCUACAAGGCGUCCUCCUUUUGUAUCAAAAGACUCGUUUUCUGGCGCUCCGUUUGUGUGUGUGUCUGUGCGUUCUAGUUAUGAUGAUGAUAUGAUGGCGUGUGCGUGAAUGCGUGUGCGCGAAGUGACGGUGUGCGUGUGUCAGCGUUCGACAGCGUGUUGAUGCUCGCCCCCUCCUCGACCCUUUUCUCGAAAGUUUUCCUUUAGAUAUAUGUAGCUUGGAAGUAGGGGGCGUGUGCAUGGUGUGUGUGUGUGUGGGUGGGUGACGGCACAUUGCCGGCCGCUUUAUCAAAGCGGCUAAAUACACGUUUCCUUGUGUUCGUUUGUCUUCCAUGAUGCUUAAGUCUUUCCGACGUCGCCCCCCCCCCUCCCUCCCCACCUCCUCCUUUCCACAUUUGUGUGCGUGCCCUUCCUACGCCCCCACACCCCGCUCUCUCUCUCUCUACGCGAGUCAGGGGGCAGGUGGAGGAGGUAUCCGGCUUGUGGCUUCAUCUUUCUUGUCCCAUGCUCCGUGUGCCGGCGCGUACGGGUCUGUGUAGGCUCAAGUGUGCUGCAGAAGCGGAAAGUACCGGGGGAGGGGAGGGGAGGGGACGAAGGGGGUGUUGCUGAAUCAAAGCGAAGAGAUAACUCUUUCUCAUUUUUAUCGUAGCAGCAACAAAAUGAAGUCGCCUUCACCCCCUCGCGCGCCAUAAGCACAGUGGUAGCAGUGCACAAAGUCACAAGCGCAGGAGGAGGAGUGCGAAGCGAGUGAACGGCCGCGUGCACCACGGCUCCAUC
rnacentral:misc_RNA from 1 species